rnacentral:rRNA from 1 species
CCCUUAGAGUUUGAUCCUGGCUCAGGAUGAACGCUAGCUACAGGCUUAACACAUGCAAGUCGAGGGGAAACGACAUCGAAAGCUUGCUUUUGAUGGGUGUCGACCGGCGCACGGGUGAGUAACGCGUAUCCAACCUGCCCACCACUUGGGGAUAACCUUGCGAAAGUAAGACUAAUACCCAAUGAUAUCUCUAGAAGACAUCUGAAAGAGAUUAAAGAUUUAUCGGUGAUGGAUGGGGAUGCGUCUGAUUAGCUUGUUGGCGGGGUAACGGCCCACCAAGGCAACGAUCAGUAGGGGUUCUGAGAGGAAGGUCCCCCACAUUGGAACUGAGACACGGUCCAAACUCCUACGGGAGGCAGCAGUGAGGAAUAUUGGUCAAUGGACGAGAGUCUGAACCAGCCAAGUAGCGUGCAGGAAGACGGCCCUAUGGGUUGUAAACUGCUUUUAUAAGGGAAUAA